rnacentral:tRNA from 1 species
AGGUAUAGCUCAGCUGGUUAGAGCGCUUGCUUGACAUGCAAGAGGUCACUGGUUCGAAUCCAGUUAUCUUC